GAACUACUCUCUCCGUCCGAAAAUACUUGUCAUCAAAAUGGAUAAAAAAAGAUGUAUCUAGAACUAAAAUACGUCUAGAUACAUCCUCUUUUAUCCAUUUUGAUGACAAGUAUUUUCGGACAGAGGGAGUAUCAA
rnacentral:pre_miRNA from 1 species